GCUGGAGUGGCUCAGUCGGUAGAGCAGCUGAUUCGUAAUCAGCAGGUCGUCAGUUCAAGUCUGAUCUCCAGCUCCA
rnacentral:tRNA from 1 species